rnacentral:rRNA from 1 species
GAUGAACGCUAGCUACAGGCUUAACACAUGCAAGGUCGAGGGGCAGCAUGAACUUAGCUUGCUAAGUUUGAUGGCGACCGGCGCACGGGUGAGUAACACGUAUCCAACCUGCCGAUGACUCGGGGAUAGCCUUUCGAAAGAAAGAUUAAUACCCGAUGGCAUAGUUCUCCCGCAUGGGGUUUUAUAUUAAAGAAAUUCGGUAUGAGAUGGGGAUGCGUUCCAUUAGUUUGUUGGCGGGGUAACGGCCCACCAAGACUACGAUGGAUAGGGGUUCUGAGAGGAAGGUCCCCCACAUUGGAACUGAGACACGGUCCAAACUCCUACGGGAGGCAGCAGUGAGGAAUAUUGGUCAAUGGACGCGAGUCUGAACCAGCCAAGUAGCGUGAAGGAUGACUGCCCUAUGGGUUGUAAACUUCUUUUAUAUGGGAAUAAAGUGGUCCACGUGUGGAUUUUUGUAUGUACCAUAUGAAUAAGGAUCGGCUAACUCCGUG